GAUGAACGCUAGCGGCAGGCUUAAUACAUGCAAGUCGAGGGGCAGCAGGUCUGUAGCAAUACAGAUGCUGGCGACCGGCAAACGGGUGCGUAACACGUACGCAACCUUCCCGUUACUGGGGAAUAGCCCAGGGAAACUUGGAUUAAUACCCCACAUUAUAUUGGUUGGGCAUCCGACUGAUAUCAAAGUUUUAACGGUAACGGAUGGGCGUGCGGUUGAUUAGGUAGUUGGCGGGGUAACGGCCACCAAGCCUACGAUCAAUAGCUGAUGUGAGAGCAUGAUCAGCCACACGGGCACUGAGACACGGGCCCGACUCCUACGGGAGGCAGCAGUAAGGAAUAUUGGGCAAUGGUCGGAAGACUGACCCAGCCAUGCCGCGUGCAGGAAGAAGGCGUUCUGCGUUGUAAACUGCUUUUAUCUGGGAAGAAAAGGCCCAUGCGUGGGACAUUGCCGGUACCAGAUGAAUAAGCACCGGCUAACUCCGUGCCAGCAGCCGCAGUAAAAC
rnacentral:rRNA from 1 species